GUGUGUGUGUGUGUGGGUUUGGGCUGAAAUGCAUGAAGUUAGUGCGUUUGAGUAGAGCUUAUAUUAUAUCACAAUAUGAGACGAUCUGCUCCGUUGUAUUUAUUAUGUAUACAGUAAUGAUAUAUUUUGGUGAUUUGGGACAUAUCUUAGAGCGUUUUCUGAAGUCCGUGUUCGUAUUGCUUAAAAAUGACGCAACGAUUUGGAAAUCUAAAACAUUAGAUAUGAACGUUAAAGACACGCCCCCAUCGCCUCUUCGCUACACCCUGAUCUCGGACGAUCCGGAAAAGACGAUAUGGCGGAAUCUGGACAAUCAGAAGGCCGGAUGGCAGGGCCACCCCGGUGAAGGAGCUCCUGUCUGAUUGGGGUGACUGGGAGACUAACGGACCCCGUGCUGAGUGAGGAGCGGCCGGUCCCUCGCCGAAUUCCGAGAUGACAACAAGGCCAAAUCAGAGCUGCGAAACCCGUGAAUCUGUUCCACGCGGGUCACGCUGUGAACGUUAACCCGCUCUGCGCUCUCUGACUCAGGGCACGUUUUUUUUUUAGAAAAGGUCGGAGAUUAUUAUGAUUAUACAACGGAACGCUCAGCCCACAGGAUAUAAAAUAAGCUCGCUACUAUAGGAAAUGCUAGGCUAUUAUGUGAUUUAGCAUGCUAGCGUUAAACGUCUGUAUUAUACUUUUCCUCAGGAGUAGCUUAUUAGGUGAGUUCGCAUGUAAUUUAGUGGUAAAGAACACCUCGGGCGCAAUUUUAACCCGCAUAAAUGACUGGGAUGUGACGUGGAGUGGAAGCGAUUACAGGCAUUUUCAGUGCACUUCUGUUUAGAACACGAUGCCUCGUCUCCUUCUCCCCUCAAAGCAUGUUUUUAAUCCUUUACUUUUAAA
ensembl:lncRNA